CUGGUGCACAGGUUUGUCCCCCAAUUUGUCAUAGCCCGGCUCCUAGGCCAUGACAAAUACGGGAAAGGACGCAGUGAUUGAUUGUAAAUUAAAGAUAUUUAUUACAAAUAAAUUAAGGAUAUACAGAAAUAACUACAAAUGUGGAGUGUGUCAGUCAGUAACAUCAGUAAUGUAGAUGUGGAUGUGUGAGCAUGAUGAAGUGUGAUGUGUUGUGAGUGGAAACUAAAGAAAAGCCAAACAAAGGCAGCCCGGCAGGUUCUGACAGGGAUGAGUC